UAGUCAUACGCUCAUCUCAAAGAUUAAGCCAUGCAUGUCUAAGUAUAAAUAAUUACUUUGAAACUGCGAAUGGCUCAUUAUAUAAGUUAUAGUUUAUUUGAUAGCCCCUACUACUUGGAUAACCGUAGUAAUUCUAGAGCUAAUACAUGCAUAAAUACCCUUACGGGUAGUAUUUAUUAGAUGGAAACCAAGCCCUUCGGGGUGCUGUGGUGAUUCACAAUAAACUUUCGAAUUGCAUGGCUUUGCCGGCAAUAGAUCAUUCAAGUUCCUUCCCUAUCAGCUUUGGACGGUAAGGUAUUUGCUUACCGUGGCUUUAACGGGUAACGGAAAAUUAGGGUUUGAUUCCGGAGAGGGAGCCUGAGAGAUGGCUACCACAUCCAAGGAAGGCAGCAGGCGCGUAAAUUACCCAAUCUAAACACUAGGAGGUAGUGACAAUAAAUAACGAUGCUGGGCCUUUAUAGGUCUGGCAAUUGGAAUGAGAACAAUUUAAACCUCUUAUCGAGGAUCAAUUG
rnacentral:rRNA from 1 species